AUACGGAAGCAGGCAACAAAUAUUUAUCUUGUCGUGCAGUGACACAGCUUAAAUUCACAACUCAUCAGCAGCUGAAAAAAAGACCUUAAUCCUCUUGUGCCACAGUUUGAAACCUCAACGUCAAUGAAAUCCUCCUGUAGGUGAAACAUUGUGUCAUGUGGGGACAGUAGAGCUAUUCACAUGACCAUGUGUGUAUAUAAAACUGUCUUUUACCUUUAAUUUACUAAAAACUACACAAAGAAAUUCUGCCAUAACAUGACGACCAUGUUUACCCACAGCAUGCGCUGUCAGCCAAAACAGUGCUGUAAUGCAUACAAAUGAUACUGUCCUGCAUUGUAAUGCUGAACAACAUGUAAGUAUGGAGACAUGAUUAUACAUCAGGAUUUGAUCAUCAUUUAAAACUCUCAUUGAAAAGUUUGCACACCCUGAAACUUACAUGUGUUUUAAAUUAAUACACCCUGUUUUUUUUUUAAACACUUGAUUUCUGCAACUUUUUCACCUUUAUUGGAUCAUAGUGAUCAGCUCCUUAAAAAUGCACCUGACCACCACCUCAAGAGGUCAGACACCGUCUACCAUUGUGCUUCAUAUACAUUUUAUUACUGGCGGUGGAUCCCAUACAUCACUGUUCUCUAUUCUGCUAUUAAAUGUCAGUCUCUGCAUAUUUUCUGACUUAUCUUUGUACAUAGAUGUGUAAAAAUCAGUAAGGUCUUUAAACUAACAAUAUAUCACGUUUGUCCCCAGGGUCAGAAAAGAGCUAAGCAAUAAAAAAAUAAAUAUAUGUCACCAUUCUUUCCUGAAAUAAGCAGCGGAAAGAUGUAAAAUCAGAACUGGCAACUGUGGGGGAGAUUAAGUCCAGUUUAAAGGACGGAGGAAAGAUUUAUCUUGGUCAGUGUCUUGAAGGUGUUUUUCAUAUGUUUUUGCAAAUGAUUAGUCAGACUUUAGAGAUGGACUCAAAUGCAGGAGGCAAAAGAAAAACAAGGGGCAAGGAAAAAAAACAAGCAGUUGAUUGCACAUCAAGAAAAUCCACAGAAGUUCCACACCUUCACAGAGUAGGGAGGACCGGACUAUAUGCUAACUGAGGGCUGAUUGGGGAUUAGACUCAGCUGUGGAACGAGGUGCACGUGCAGGUAACUGACACAGGUGAAGACCAUCAGACAAGGAGGAAGCAAAACCCAAAGCAGCAAACAAGAGGAAACAUGUAAACCAGGACAUGAAUAAUCACCAUACUGAAACAAGGAGACCCUCAAAAAUCAAAGAUUAAUAAUAAUCAGAAAUGAACUCAUUCAUGAGGGAACACAGAACAUUAAGGAAGUCAAACUAACACAGGACUUCAAAGCAAAAGAGGAAAUGACUUAAAGGCUACCAACAUAGACAUAAAAAUGGAGGCUUAACAAACACAGGGAGAACUAAGGCAUUAUUACAGAGAUACAAACAGGGAAAAGCCGAGGGAACUAAAAACACAAGAGAUAAACUCAGAAAAGGAACUGAAGCUAAAUAGAGAACAAGAACUCUAAACGAACACGAGAACAGUAAAAACAUAUUCAAAUAUUACAGUCAAACUAAAGCUUACGGUAAAGAUGUCAAAACAGGAAUCCAGUAUAUCCAAUAUAUAUUCAAUGUAAAAAUCAGAACUCCAAACACAAAGUUGUUACAAUUUGCUGACAAAUGUGUUUCACACAUGAAAAAUGAUGCCCAAAGCAUGUUAAACUAAAACUAAAUUAAUGUUUGCAGCUGUGUUUUCAUUUCUCUGCCCCCUUCCUAGAACACACCUACUUAUCCACCUCUCCUUUUGUCCUUCCCCUCUAUCUCCUCGUCUCUGAUUCCUGGGGUUCAGCGAUUGUUCUUGUUAUUGCUGAGGAGCAUACAGGGGUUUUGUGUCAGUGUGUUUGACGAUGAGACGGCUGCGGUGAAAAAUGAGAAGCAGAGUUGGCGUAAGAAGUGUUUGUUCCACAGUCUGGGUCAGUCUGGGCCGAGCGCCUGACACACACAGCCGGAGGCUACAGUCCUGCAGGACACACUGAGCCGUGGCGCCCUCCACACACAAUGAUGAAGCAAACUUUGGGAUAUUGUGUCGGGCCGAAAUCUAACAAUGAUACUCAAUUUGAACUUAAGGCAAGACUUUUGAUCUAAAAUAAUCUCUCUGUCACAAAUGACAUGUUUCAUAACUAAUAAAAUCCCUGCUUGAUUCAAUGGACUCGAGGUUUUUGAUGCUACAGUUCAAAGUAACUGAAGUUAGCUAACAUUAGGAAACUCCUCUACCUGUGCUACUGUUUCUCAGCCCCUUUAACUUAUUGGUAAAUUUGGAGUUUAUGUACUUCUAGUGAGUUAUCUGUAGUUUUUGUCCACAUACAGAGCAGUUUAACUCUGCAUAUUGUUUUAUUUCAUAAUUUUCAUUGCGUUUUCUAGGGCUUGUGUAGCCAACAGUAGUGUUUAGCAAGAUUUAGUUAUUAAUAGGCCACCUUAAUUGAGACUAGAAACAGAGGAGAGGUUUCUGACACAACUUCAGCCACCCCACGGUCCACAGAGAAGAGGAUAAGCUGUGAUAGGACAUGAUGAUGUGAAGUGGUUAAAGUUCCAGUAAAGCUUACAGGAUC